GUAAGUUUUCCUGGCCUCCAGAUAGUGCCACCCUUGGGAGCAAGCUUUUAGCACGUGAGCCUCUGUGGGUACACUUAAGAUCAAAACUAUACUGAUACUGCUACUUCAGGUCGGAAAUAACUAACAUUUCUCUCCAAGUUAUCCAGAUGAAGAACUUUGAAGGAUGCCUUUGUUCACUGUUCUUGAUCAGCUCAUCCCCAA
rnacentral:lncRNA from 1 species